rnacentral:rRNA from 1 species
GACGAACGCGGCGGCGUGCCUAAUACAUGCAAGUAGAACGCUGAAGGAGGAGCUUGCUUCUCUGGAUGAGUUGCGAACGGGUGAGUAACGCGUAGGUAACCUGCCUGGUAGCGGGGGAUAACUAUUGGAAACGAUAGCUAAUACCGCAUAAUAGUAGAUGUUGCAUGACAUUUGCUUAAAAGGUGCAAUUGCAUCACUACCAGAUGGACCUGCGUUGUAUUAGCUAGUUGGUGAGGUAACGGCUCACCAAGGCAACGAUACAUAGCCGACCUGAGAGGGUGAUCGGCCACACUGGGACUGAGACACGGCCCAGACUCCUACGGGAGGCAGCAGUAGGGAAUCUUCGGCAAUGGACGGAAGUCUGACCGAGCAACGCCGCGUGAGUGAAGAAGGUUUUCGGAUCGUAAAGCUCUGUGUAAGAGAAGAAACGAGUGUGAGAGUGAAAAGUCCACCACUGGGACGG